rnacentral:lncRNA from 1 species
UUUGAGGCAAGAUGGGGUAUUGGGUACGGGGUAUGAUGGGACAUUGGUGAUAAUACCAUGGUACGUACUUACAAGAAAAAAACAAAAAGAG